AAAAUAACAAUGAUUUCCCUAGUAACGGCGAGUGAAGAGGAAAGAGCUCAAAGUUGGAACCUGUUUGGCUUAGCUAAACCGGAUUGUAAACUGUAGAAGUGUUUUCCUGACACGCCUGGUAAAAAAGUCCUUUGGAACAGGGCAUCAUAGAGGGUGAGAAUCCCGUCUUUGGCCAGAGCUGUUGUCUUUUKUGAUACAUUUUCAAAGAGUCAGGUUGUUUGGGAAUGCAGCCUAAAUUGGGUGGUAAAUCUCACCUAAAGCUAAAUAUUUGCGAGAGACCGAUAGCGAACAAGUACCGUGAGGGAAAGAUGAAAAGAACUUUGAAAAGAGAGUUAAACAGUAUGUGAAAUUGUUAAAAGGGAACCGUUUGGAGCCAGACUGGCUUGAUCGUAAUCAAUCUAAGCUUCGGCUUGGAUGCACUUGCGGUCUUUGCCUGCCAACGACAAUUUUUUCUGGGGGAAAAAACUAAUGUGAAACGUAGCCCAUCUCGGUGGGUGUUAUAGUCCGUUAGAAAAUACCCUGGAUUGGAUUGAGGAACGCAGUGAAUGCUCUUUAGGGCAAGAUUGCUGGGUGCUUUCGCUAAUACAUGCUAAAAUUUCUGCCUUGGGUGGUGUUAGUGUGUAAAGGAGGAACUCGCCUAGUAUAUUUUUUAUUCCCUUAGGUUGUUGGCUUAAUGACUCUAAAUGAC
rnacentral:rRNA from 1 species